CUCUGCCUGUCAGCUUCUCUCAGCUCAGGAGUCUGAAGUGGUUGGAUCUGAAGGAUAACCCGCUGGAGGCUGGCCUGGCCAAGGCAGCAGGAGACUGUCUGGAUGAGAAGCAGUGCAAACAGUGUGCCUCCAAGGUUCUGGAGCACAUGAAUGGUCUUCAGGAUGAGGUUGAUCGUGCACGAGAGAAACGCCUUUUGAGGGAAAAAGGUAUCAGGA